UAAAGCACUUUCAGUUGUGAGGAAAGGUUGGUAGUUAAUACCUGCCAGCUGUGACGUUAACAACAGAAGAAGCACCGGCUAACUCCGUGCCAGCAGCCGCGGUAAUACGGAGGGUGCGAGCGUUAAUCGGAAUUACUGGGCGUAAAGCGGACGCAGGCGGUUUGUUAAGCUAGAUGUGAAAGCCCCGGGCUCAACCUGGGAUGGUCAUUUAGAACUGGCAGACUAGAGUCUUGGAGAGGGGAGUGGAAUUCCAGGUGUAGCGGUGAAAUGCGUAGAUAUCUGGAGGAACAUCAGUGGCGAAGGCGACUCCCUGGCCAAAGACUGACGCUCAUGUCCGAAAGUGUGGGUAGCGAACAGGAUUAGAUACCCUGGUAGUCCACACCGUAAACGCUGUCUACUAGCUGUGUGUGAAUUUAAUUCGUGCGUAGCGAAGCUAACGCGCUAAGUAGACCGCCUGGGGAGUACGGCCGCAAGGUUAAAACUCAAAUGAAUUGACGGGGGCCCGCACAAGCGGUGGAGCAUGUGGUUUAAUUCGAAGCAACGCGAAGAACCUUACCUAC
rnacentral:rRNA from 1 species